CAGCUGCCGGCACAGAAGGCAGCACUGGGGACAGUCUCCACCAUGGCCUGGGCCCCUCUCCUCCUCACCCUCCUGGCUCACUGCACAGGAUCCUGGGCCCAGUCUGCGCUGACUCAGCCGCCCUUGGUGUCUGGAGCCCCGGGGCAGAGGGUCACCAUCUCCUACACGGGCAGCAGCAGCAACAUCGGGGAUAAUUAUGCGAGCUGGUACCAGAAGCUCCCAGGAUCAGCCCCCAAACUCCUCAUCUAUUAUGAUAGUGAUAGACCCUCGGGGGUCCCUGACCGAUUCUCUGGCUCCAAGUCUGGCAGCUCGGCCUCCCUGACCAUCACGGGGCUCCAGGCUGAGGACGAGGCUGAUUAUUACUGUGCAGCCUGGGACGAUAACCUGAGUGGUCACACAGUGCUCAAGACACAGGGGGAACUGAGGCAAAAACCUGCCCUUGCUUUCUUGUGA